rnacentral:tRNA from 1 species
GGCCCCGUAGCUCAGCCGGAUAGAGCAGCGGAUUUCUAAUCCGCCGGUCGCGUGUUCGAAUCACGCCGGGGCUA